rnacentral:tRNA from 1 species
GUUUUAAUAAUUUAAUAAAAAUAUUGGUCUUGUAAACCAAAAAUAAGAACACCCCUUUUAAAACU